rnacentral:rRNA from 1 species
GAUGAACGCUGGCGGCGUGCCUAAUACAUGCAAGUCGAACGCAUUGUGGUUGAAAUGAUAUGAAGAACUUGUUCAGAUUUGAUUUUCAACAUUGCAAUGAGUGGCGAACGGGUGAGUAACACGUGGGAAACCCUACCUCUUAGCAGGGGAUAACAUUUGGAAACAAAUGCUAAUACCGUAUAAUAAUUAAAACCGCAUGGUUUUAGUUUAAAAGAUGGUCUUGCUAUCACUAAGAGAUGGUCCCGCGGUGUAUUAGUUAGUUGGUGAGGUAAUGGCUCACCAAGACAAUGAUACAUAGCCGAAGUUGAGAGACUGACCGGCCACAAUGGGACCUGAGACA